rnacentral:rRNA from 1 species
GUGGGGAAUAUUGCGCAAUGGGCGAAAGCCUGACGCAGCAACGCCGUGUGAGUGAUGAAGGCCCUCGGGUCGUAAAGCUCUGUCGGAAGGGAAGAUGGUGUCGUUGGUUAAUAACCAACGGGAUUGACGGUACCUUUAAAGGAAGCACCGGCUAACUCUGUGCCAGCAGCCGCGGUAAGACAGAGGGUGCAAGCGUUGUUCGGAAUCAUUGGGCGUAAAGCGCGCGUAGGCGGUUUCGUAAGUCGGAUGUGAAAGCCCACGGCUCAACCGUGGAAGUGCAUCCGAAACUGCAGAACUUGAGUCCCGGAGAGGGUGGUGGAAUUCCUGGUGUAGAGGUGAAAUUCGUAGAUAUCAGGAGGAACACCCGUGGCGAAGGCGACCACCUGGACGGUGACUGACGCUGAGGUGCGAAAGCGUGGGGAGCAAACAGG